GGUACGCAAGGAUACAUUUUUAAAAUAAUUUUUUUUAUAUAAUUUUUAGUAAGGUCAUAUGUAUAAAAUAAAACAUAAUGCAAGAGUACAUUCAUAAAAUAUUUAGUACUAAAUUCUUUAAUAUCAAAAAGAAAAUUUUAUAUUCAUCAAAGAUUGCGUCAAAGAGCAAUCAAUUAAUAACCAGGUAUACUGACAAAGAAUUAACAACAAACAAUAACAGAGGAUUCAAUCAAAUAUUCAAGAAAAUUUAAAGAACAACAAUAAGCUAACAAAAUUAAGCAAUGACAACGAUAGCACUAAGUCAUAAUAUCCAAAAUUAAAAAAUAAAAUAAAACAACAAUAGAUAGAAAUUAAAAAAUAGAAAGAGUGAUUUUUUUAACACAUGAGAGUGAGCAGCCCUUAUAGAAAAUCUAACAAAGUAGAAAUUGGUCUAUAGGGAAUAAAUAAUGACAAUACACGCCCCAUAGAAUAUGAAGAGACAUAGAAAGAGAGGGAGAAAGAGGGAGAGAGCAUUGACCUUUGAAAAAAUAUAAAUAUAAAAUAAGAAAAAAA